UACGUAGGGUCCGAGCGUUGUCCGGAAUUAUUGGGCGUAAAGGGCUCGUAGGCGGUUUGUCGCGUCGGCUGUGAAAACUCGGGGCUCAACCCCGAGCCUGCAGUCGAUACGGGCAAACUAGAGUGCUGUAGGGGAGACUGGAAUUCCUGGUGUAGCGGUGAAAUGCGCAGAUAUCAGGAGGAACACCGAUGGCGAAGGCAGGUCUCUGGGCAUUAACUGACGCUGAGGAGCGAAAGCAUGGGGAGCGAACAGG
rnacentral:rRNA from 1 species